GAAUAAACCGACAAAAACUCUAUUUCGGUCUAUUCCCGAAUUCGUUUAAAACCCAAUAUCAAAACCAAACUGAACCGAACCGAAUUUUUGUUCAGUUCAAUUCGGCAGAAUUUGAGAUAACCGAAGAAACCGGAAAACCGAACCAAUUAAACCGACUAAACCGAAUGCCCAGGCCUACUUUUUAAAGUCUUUUCAGGUAUUCUAUGGAGAGGGACAACAAUGGAGAUGAGAAGACAUUUUGGAGCAAAAGACGAGGAAAAGAAGCUAAAGGACAAAUUCACUUUCAGAUCCAGUCGAGAGUGUCGAUCGACACACUCUUGGUGUCGAUCGACACACCAGUUGCGGCUCCGAGAAGUUCAUCACGCUUUU
rnacentral:sRNA from 1 species